UACGUAGGGACCAAGCGUUGUUCGGAUUUACUGGGCGUAAAGGGCGCGUAGGCGGCAAUUCAAGUCAGUUGUGAAAUCUCCGAGCUUAACUCGGAACGGUCAACUGAUACUGUUUUGCUAGAGUACAGAAGGGGCAAUCGGAAUUCUUGGUGUAGCGGUGAAAUGCGUAGAUAUCAGGAAGAACACCCGUGGCGAAAGCGGCUCUCUGGAACGGUACUGACGCUGAGACGCGAAAGCGUGGGGAGCGAACAGG
rnacentral:rRNA from 1 species